GUGGGGAAUCUUGCGCAAUGGGCGAAAGCCUGACGCAGCCAUGCCGCGUGAAUGAUGAAGGUCUUAGGAUUGUAAAAUUCUUUCACCGGGGACGAUAAUGACGGUACCCGGAGAAGAAGCCCCGGCUAACUUCGUGCCAGCAGCCGCGGUAAUACGAAGGGGGCUAGCGUUGCUCGGAAUUACUGGGCGUAAAGGGCGGGUAGGCGGACAGUUUAGUCAGAGGUGAAAGCCCAGUGCUCAACCUUGGAAUUGCCUUUGAUACUGGCUGUCUUGAGUACGGGAGAGGUGAGUGGAACUCCGAGUGUAGAGGUGAAAUUCGUAGAUAUUCGGAAGAACACCAGUGGCGAAGGCGACUCACUGGCCCGUUACUGACGCUGAGGCGCGAAAGCGUGGGGAGCAAACAGGAUUAGAUACCCUGGUAGUCC
rnacentral:rRNA from 1 species